rnacentral:rRNA from 1 species
CCUGGCUCAGGACGAACGCUGGCGGCGUGCCUAAUACAUGCAAGUAGAACGCUGAAGAGAGGAGCUUGCUCUUCUUGGAUGAGUUGCGAACGGGUGAGUAACGCGUAGGUAACCUGCCUUGUAGCGGGGGAUAACUAUUGGAAACGAUAGCUAAUACCGCAUAACAAUGGAUGACACAUGUCAUUUAUUUGAAAGGGGCAAUUGCUCCACUACAAGAUGGACCUGCGUUGUAUUAGCUAGUAGGUGAGGUAAUGGCUCACCUAGGCGACGAUACAUAGCCGACCUGAGAGGGUGAUCGGCCACACUGGGACUGAGACACGGCCCAGACUCCUACGGGAGGCAGCAGUAGGGAAUCUUCGGCAAUGGGGGCAACCCUGACCGAGCAACGCCGCGUGAGUGAAGAAGGUUUUCGGAUCGUAAAGCUCUGUUGUAAGUCAAGAACGGGUGUGAGAGUGGAAAGUUCACACUGUGACGGUAGCUUACCAGAAAGGGACGGCUAACUACGUGCCAGCAGCCGCGGUAAUACGUAGGUCCCGAGCGUUGUCCGGAUUUAUUGGGCGUAAAGCGAGCGCAGGCGGUUUGAUAAGUCUGAAGUUAAAGGCUGUGGCUCAACCAUAGUUCGCUUGGAAACUGUCAAACUUGAGUGCAGAAGGGGAGAGUGGAAUCCCAUGUGUAGCGGUGAAAUGCGUAGAUAUAUGGAGGAACACCGGUGGGGAAAGCGGCUCUCUGGUCUGUAACUGACGCUGAGGCUCGAAAGCGUGGGGAGCGAACAGGAUUAGAUACCCUGGUAGUCCACGCCGUAAACGAUGAGUGCUAGGUGUUGGAUCCUUUCCGGGAUUCAGUGCCGCAGCUAACGCAUUAAGCACUCCGCCUGGGGAGUACGACCGCAAGGUUGAAACUCAAAGGAAUUGACGGGGGCCCGCACAAGCGGUGGAGCAUGUGGUUUAAUUCGAAGCAACGCGAAGAACCUUACCAGGUCUUGACAUCCCGAUGCUAUUUCUAGAGAUAGAAAGUUACUUCGGUACAUCGGUGACAGGUGGUGCAUGGUUGUCGUCAGCUCGUGUCGUGAGAUGUUGGGUUAAGUCCCGCAACGAGCGCAACCCCUAUUGUUAGUUGCCAUCAUUCAGUUGGGCACUCUAGCGAGACUGCCGGUAAUAAACCGGAGGAAGGUGGGGAUGACGUCAAAUCAUCAUGCCCCUUAUGACCUGGGCUACACACGUGCUACAAUGGUUGGUACAACGAGUUGCGAGUCGGUGACGGCGAGCUAAUCUCUUAAAGCCAAUCUCAGUUCGGAUUGUAGGCUGCAACUCGCCUACAUGAAGUCGGAAUCGAUAGUAAUCGCGGAUCAGCACGCCGCGGUGAAUACGUUCCAAGGGCUUGUACACACCGCCCG